CUUUUCUAAAGAAGACACACCUGUAUGUCACAAUUUCUGUCUUCCUGCUUCCAGGAAGGCUGUGAGCAGUGGUGGACCCUGGCGUUGAAGGAUGCCUUGCGCCCUCAACUGAGAUGGUUCCGCUUCAGCCCAGGCUCUUCCCUCACUUCCCUGUCACCCCAGCUCCAAAUACCUGGAAGACCUGGGCUUGCUUCUAGAGCAGUCUGGCCUUUGAAGAGACCUGUGUUGCCAUGUUAUGGAAAUCACCACACAACGAGGUGUCAGGCAUGGUGGAGGCCAGCCCAGAGCCAGCAGAGUCACUUCUACACAUAGCAGUUAACUGGUUUAGCUACGCAUGUCCCAUCACCGAAGAACCAGAUAUUAAAUGUGGCUGAGAAAGUGACGUAGCUUCGACUAAGACAAGUCUUCACGUCCCAUUUCUGCCUUUCUCAAACCCCUGUGAAACACUAAAGGGAAGGCAUCAUGUACAUUUCGAUUAGAUAUUUUCAAGACUUAGAAGAAAGGACAUUGGAACAGGACAGCAGUGGGAAUCCCCUGGGAAGGUUCCACCAACCAGUUUCCUCUCCUUUGUCAACUUUGUCACCUGGGCGAUGUUACAGAGGGAUGCGUUUUUGAAAGAGUCCGUGGACGUGGAGGCAGGUGGAGUGGUUUGCAAGCACAAAGAGGCAAUUUUCGGCUUCGUCGGAUGCAGACUAAGACGUUAAUUUGGGUGGUGAGAGAAGAUGCGUCACCAAGAGUGGCCAUUUCAAUUUUAGAUAUAAUAAUAUAUUGUGAUAACUGCAACAGAUUGUUGUACCUCAAGUAACCCAGAGAUGAUGAAACCGAAAAAGAAUGACUUUUAUUCUUCAGUUUCUGGCUCCUCACUGACCUCUCCCUCGGAGUUUGAAAACAUCCACCAGAAAUCUAUUUGGGAACACCACAGAGGGGCGUAAACUCGGGGGAGAACCCUCCUCAUUCAGAUGAGUAAGUGAAGGAACUAGGGACUUGGGGGGGGGCACUUCUGGGAGCCUGUUCUCUUCAGGGCAGCUGAGGGCUUCUCAAACGGAGGGGGAGUUCUGUCUGCUGUUGGGUAGAAGGUGGGAAGCAGAGGAAUUCACUUGAACUCUGUGGUCAGGCAGGAGCAUCUUGGAAGGCUAAGGAAGUUGGAAAGUUGAAAAUUGGCUAAUGAAAAACAGAGCGAUAUGCUGUAACACAGGCCGAACAAUGAGGAACAUUUAAGCUGGGGAACCAAGGAUGCCAGUGGGACUUGGACAUAAUCUUUCUAAAAUAUGGUCAAGUAAAAGGACUCAGAUGCAAUUUCUUUUUUUUUUUUUUAACCUGUUACCUAAUUCAGAGGCAGGAUCAUAAUGGAAUAUAGAAAGCCCAGUUGCAUCAGGAGAAGAAAGUCCUAGGUCAGCUGCACAGGUGCCUGCAUCUGAUGCCAUAGGUGGUCUAGAAGAAAUCCAAAUCCCCCAGAGGAAUCCUCAUGUCAGACCCCCACAGAUACACGUUCCCAGCCCAAGCUUAAAUCCCGCUGGACACAUUCUCGAGGCAGUGAGUGGCUGGACACAGAAAGUGAAGCUGCCAAACAGCUGCCAACACCAAGGACAGGUCUAGACCAUUAUCCCCAGCUCGAAACCCCCUGACACAGCACACCUCCCACCCCCAACGCCACAGCUCCUUGUGGGAUUUACAGGUUGACCAGAAACUGUAGGGAUGCAUCAUGCUACAAGCAGUCCGUCCAGGCCAGUGGUGUUUCCAGUGUGGUCCAGGUCAGCAAGACUUCCCUGUAGCUCAAAUGGUAAGGAAUCUGCCUGCAAUGCAGGAGACCCAGGUUCAAUCCCUGGGUCGGGAAGAUCCCUGGAGAAGAGAAUGGCAACCCACUCCAGUGUUCUUGCCUGGAGAAUCCCGUGGACAGAGAAGCCUGGCGGGCUACAAUCCAUGGGAUCGCAGAGAGCCAGACACAGCUGAGUGUUAUGUGCCAGGUCAGCAGCAUCAGAGUCACCUGGAAACUUCUGCUCACUGUUGGCUGUAGAAAGGGGCUUCCAAGCCACCACUGCCCUGGAUUUCCUUGUCUUGGGACCCUUUAACUCUGCCACAACACCACGCUGUGUAAACAACCUCCCCCACCUACUUAUAAUGUCAACUUCAUCCAAUAAUAGGUUUCUAUAUAAAACUGGAUUUUUUUAUUCUGGACUCGGUCUUGUGUUCUUGAUCUGCUUUUCCAUUGCCAUCUUAAUUAUAUUAGCAGUAUGUAGUUAAUUGUAUUAGCAGCAUAUAGUUAUAUUAAGAGCAAUACAUAGUAUAACUGUAGUAAUGAUGUAUAUAUGCAACUAUAUAUAAUAUAAGAUAUAUAAUAAAUAAUAUUAAUAGAUGAUAUAAAUAGUAUAAAUAUUAAUUCAUUCUUAAGUAGUAGAGUAUACCACUUUGUUAUAAGUUUUAAUGCCUCUUAGAAUAAAACUCAUUUCUGUCUCUUUUUUAUGUGUCUAUUUUAAAGGCUGUUUUAAAAGAGCAACUAUUUGAAUGGCAGAAGAUUCUCUUGUUUUCUAAAGGAAAGUUAAGUUUUCUAUCUCCCUCUUAAUCAUCUCCCAGUUUGAUGUGACUUUUUAUGUCUUUUGAUUUUCUUAUUCAAACAGCAUACACAUAUGUUUUCUAAAACUGGAUCUAUUUUUAUUAUUCUGUGACUUGCAUUUUUCACUUAGCAGUAUUCCACAGACCUAUCAAUACAUGUGUGUCUAUUUCCUCUGUAUUUUUUUCAACCGUUGUUUCCUUUCAGACUUUUGCUGUUUAAGCAAUGCUGCGAUAAUCAUGCCUGCAGGUGUAUGCAUGCUCAUCUUUUGUAUAAUGCUGCUUUUAUUUCCCCAAGAUGCACUGUUCAAGGUGGAAUUACUGAAUCAAAAAGGACUCAUGAGCAGAGGUGAUGCAAGCCCCUGAUUUGAGAGAAGAGGCUCCCACACCAGGAGACUUGCUGAAUUCUCGGAGAAGAGUCUUCUCGGGAGAGAUGUCCUCCAAAUGGGAGUCUUGUUCAGGAAAAGCCUCCGAGUCCUAAAUGUAUUCCACCUGCAGAAGUCACCCUGCUUGCAGGUGAAUCCAUCCGGGACAGCCUGAUCACGGGAGAAAUGGAGGAGGAAGCCCCGGAAGUCACAGGCAGCUUCUGCUAGUGCCUGUCCCCCUGGUCCAGGUACCACAGAUUCACCCUGCUCUCCUUGUUCCUUGCUGUCUGCUCCUACUCAACAACCUCCUGACAGACUCCUCCACCUAAAACCAGGCUUUGAGUGAGGCUCAGCCCCUUGUCUUCUUCCCCGACCCCCGCUGAGUCUGUGAUCGGAGUAAGAAAUUGAUAAUAAAACACAUACCCCUUCCUAGAAAGGUUCUAUCUGUAGCAGAGACUCCAGAGCCAAAAUACCUGGGCUCAACCCGCAGUUCAGCAAUUUCCUAGCCCUGUAACGCGAGCAAGUUACUUCACCUUCCUGUUCCUUAGUUUCUUGCUCUGUAAGAUGGGAUAAUAAUAGUACCCACUGCCUGGGAUUUGUUAUGAGGAUUCGCUACAGCAAUGUAAGGACCGCACACUGCAAGGCCAGCACUAAGGGACAAUAAGGCUGGACAGUUCCUUAUUGUUUAUUCCAGCUUCUAAUUGAUUUCAGAAAUGGUUUUUGAGAAGAGCUUUCCACAGUUUCUUCCCACACUCAUUUUUAACAUUUUUUGGAAGGAGAAGGACUCUCAGGAACUUGAAAGCCCUGCUGAUACCCGGGAAUCAGUAAGCAGGAACAGAUGAGCGUCUCCUGGGUUUGCAUUUCUGAGCUGCCAUCCCCAGCCCUGCUGCCUCACCAGGUGCCUCCUCCCCGGACUCUCGCCAUCUUCUUAGCUGGAUGGGGGUGAGGGGGCUUGGACCCUGAAGAUGCCUGACAAAAAGGUCACAACCUAUAGACCAAGGCAAACUGGUUGGCCGCUUACAGGUAGGGCCUUGACCUAAGAAUGGGGUCCAUUUUUUUUUUAACUUUUUUUUUUUUAACACCACACCACAAGUUCCCUAUGUUAGUUCCCUGAGCAGAGACAAACCUAUGCCCCUGUAUUGGAAGGGCAGAGUCUUAACCAUUGGAGCACUAGGGAAGUCCCAGGUUCCAUAUUUUUCUUUACAGAAAGAGUUUGGUUGCCUGAGACAAACACCGCUGUGGUGGGGAGCUGUGAGUGACAGGCCGGCACUAACCACCACCCUGAGAUUUCAGACUCGCUUCUCCUUGACAGGACGUCCUCCAAGGACGUCUCCACCGAGUCAGCGCAGCGCUAGAUCCCUCCUCUCAAUCUGGCUGCCGCUGGGGAAUUCUGCCGCCGAAACCACAUCUAUGGCAGCCAUGAAGAAGUCUUUCUUUUUACCCCCUCAAUUUUUUUGUGUGUGUGGGAUUUUGUGGGGGGUGAGGUGGGGCCAGCGCUUUCAUGUUCGUCUUUGGAAUGAAAAUGGCAUCUUUCUUUCAUGAGUAAUAGGCACAGAGGGUUCUGCAAAUCCUUCGGCCUCUCAGAAAUGGCAUGUUCAAAGUCCUAGUUGGGGCGCCUGCCAGGUCAGCGGUCCUCGCUGUUCCCUCAGCUGUGGGUGCCGACGUGAGAAAAUCGAGGCUUCGGGUCCCUCUGCAGAGCUUGUUUCUCAGGGCUGGGUACUUCCCGUUGGCAGAGAGAGUGCCUACGUGGCUUCCCAGAGCUCAGCAGGGAUGAAGUAUGGGAAGUGUGGUACCAGGAUGGUGACAUAGUUUGACAGGUGAUACUGUGUGUGUUCAGGGUUUUGAGCUCCUCUUUAUUGGCUCAUUGAGGUCCUGGCAUCAUUUCCCCUGGGACUGCAUCAAGCAGUGUCUUCUCUCGGUGGUCCUUGUGGUAUCCAGAGGUCUAUCCUGCCCUGGCAACUGUUGUGAACUUGUGUCUCCAAGGUCACAGAGAGGUGGGAGGUUGGGAAAUAAAAAGACUCACCUUUCAGAACACUUUAUCCAAAACCUGGCUCAGGACAUUUGUAAAGCUAUCUCUUUUAUCUUUCUGCCUCUAAGCAAUCAUAGAAAACAAAUGGGGAAAUCUCCUUAUAGCUUUAAACUCUCUGAUACAGGCUCCCCUUCACUUUUUUAAACCAAGGCCAAGGCUCAGCAGCUUUUCCACAGGACUAAGCCUGGAUUCUAAGCCUGGAUUCACCUGGGGUUCUGUCUUUUCAGGGUCCAGGUCUUUAUAUACCUCACGGACUCUGGUUCUGUGAUCCUGGGCUAGAAGCAGUUGGUACCAACACUGCUAAGUACUGAAAACCGAUUUCUCUAUCUGAACCUCCUGUGUUUUCAUAAAAUAGCUUUUCCUUACAUACAUUUUUUUGUUUGGUUGUUUUUUUGCAUUCAUUGGCUUAUAAGGAUUGUUAAUGGCUGUUUUUGAAUAUUUAAUAAAUUCAAAGAUUAAUGAAUGGGUCAUUAGCUCUAGAUUUUAAUCCCAUCUUAGUGAAGCAUCUAGCAGCCCCUGUUUGGCACCUUCAACCCUUCCCUUGUUUUGAGCAAAGUGGCACCGUAGCCUGGUCGCGCCCUGGAGACCCGUGUGUGCACCUCGUGUCCUCAAGGACUGGGAGGGUCCGCAGAGCAGCUCCCAGAGGCCACGAUCCC